UUGUCAAAGCAGAUCUACGUUCACAUGCGUAGUGCUCCAAAAGUAGAUCUACGUUUCUUUUACAUAGUUUCAAAUAUAACAAAAAAAAAAAAACGUAGAUCAAAGUUGUUUUUUACACGUUUUCAAAUGUAAAAAAAAAAGAAAGAUCAACUUUUUUUAUAUACUUUCAAAUGUUGAAAAAACGUAGAUCUACGUUUGGACAGUUUAAGGGUUAAUACACAUAAUAUUACAUGUACAAAGUCCACCAGUCAUCACUUCCACUAAAUUAGCUUGUUGCAUGGACCUACUGGUUAGUGCAGGGGACUCGCCUGCUAAACUCUCACCUUUAAAUGGUUUAUAUGCAUGUUCCUAUGUUAUUUGCAUUAACUUUAUAAAGCUCUACAUAGAGACAAAGAUGUCACAACAAAAAGGUUGCUCUACACCUGUAUUUUCUUCAGUACACCUUUGCAUUCAGAAUAAAAAUUUAAAUUCUCAUUAUGUUUAACUGCUGACUAAUUUUAUAGCAAGGACACAACAGGAAAUUAAAGACCUCUAUUAUUUUGAUAAUAUAAAAAUAAGAGCAAGUGUAGCUCAGUGUAUAGCUUAUUUAUGUACAGCAGGUGUCAUAAAUAUGCCUUUGACAGUUUUAAGAAGUGCCAGGCCAAUUUUUGUAUGGAAGAUGGUACCCCAACAAAGAUUGAGUGCAUGAUUGUGAUAUUGUUCAUUAAAUUUAAUGACUGAUAACUCAAAAAGGACUUACUACAUCUGAUAAAUAACAUAUGGAACCUUGUUAAGCAUAAGCUUCAUGACAUGGAUGUGUCCACUAUGUGUGGGAGGGUACUGACUUUUCUAUCCUCCACAAUGUGGCAUUAUCAGUACCCAAGAGACAUAAGGAGUGCAUCAAGAGAAAGGAUAACCCUACAAAAUACUUGGGAAGAUAGUAUCCCAUAUUGAAAACAAUAUGAAGAGCAUGCUAAUUAUCUGUGUGAAUGCAUGUAUAUGACACAUACUGUAUAUUACUGGCAGGGCCAGUGUAACCCAAUAAUCAACUGCUACUUACAUGCAAUAAUACUGAACAUACAGUGAAGAACUACAGUGGCUUUUUGGCACAUGCUAGGCAGAGCCAACUCUUGUACCUGUGCAACCUAUUUUUAAAGCUACCUAAUAAACUGUUCAGCACCACUACUUGAUGGCUCAUUCCAUCCAUCUACAACUGUAUUGCCAAGCAAGUCCUUUCCUAUAUCCUUUUUCAGUCUUAAUUUAUUCAAAGCCAAAACCAAUCUGUCACUGCAAGUCCUAUCUUUCUUAGAUAUUUUCAGCCAUUUAUUUAUAUCACUAUUCCAAUUUUCCAUUCAUACAUUCAAGUCUAUUCUCCAUUAUUCUAUGUCUUUCCAAAGUGCAAAUUCAGGGCCUUUAGACCAUCUUCAUAAGAAAGGUUUCUGAUACAAGAAAACAACUUCUUCCUUCUGUGUUUUUCCCAGUGCAUUUAUGUCCAUUCUGUAAUAUGGAGAGAAAUGAGCUGUAUAAUCUAAAUAAGGUCUUACUAAUGAUACUGUAUAUAAAGUAUAACCUUAGGAACCUUUAUUAUUUAUUCUUGAUAUAAAGCCAGGAAUUCUAUUAGCUUUAUUACAAAGACUUAAACAACAAAGUAUCUGUUUAGAUUUCUGCUAACCAGAACUCCUUAGUCUUUUUUGCAUUCAGUUUGAUUAAGAUGUGUUUAGUUUAUUAGUGCUGUGGUUUUCUUUUCCAGGGAUUACCUCACAUUUACCCUCAUUAAACCUCAUCUGCCGCUUUUCUGAUCACAUCACCCUAACCAGAUUAUCGUGUAGCUCUCUUAGUGUUCUUUUAAAUUGACAACCUAUUUUAUUGUCAUUAUUCCCUAAUCUAUGUCAUGUAUUUAGAUUAUGAACACAAAGGUGCCCAGCACUGACCCCAGUGAAACACAAUGUGUAGUAGGGCACUAAUUCUGAUUUCUCCCUAUUAAUGCAAAAAAUGUUGCCUAUCUUUCAGUGAUAUUUUGAUCCAUUAGAGAAUUUGUCCUAUACUGUGUGACACCAUCAGUCUCUAGUGUGAAACUCUAUACUAUUAUAAAAUGCCUAACCAGUGAGGGACUCUUGACCUAAGGAUGUGGAUCUGUGCUUCCCUUCCUUGGUCCAAUAAAGCAAACCUACCCUCCUUUUCCUUUUAUUCAAUCUGAUUCCCCCCCCCCCAUUCCCCAGGUGCUCUAUGACCCUUACAGGCUUAGGACUCCCUCAGGCACUGUAUGACCCUUACAGUUUUAGUGACUUUGCCCUUGAACAUAACAGUAUCCAAGACUUUACUGAAGUGCAUAUUUUUGUUUGUUUGUUUAGUAAUACAUCGGCUGUUUCCCACCAAGGCAGGGUGGCCUGAAAAAGAAAAACUUUCACCAUCAUUCACUCCAUCACUGACUUGCCAGAAGUGCACUUACACUACAGAUAUAAAACUUCAGAGUGCAGCCACUGUACUUCCCAUCUCCAGGACUCGAGUCUGGCCUGCCGGUUUCCCUGAAUCCCUUCAUAAAUAUUACCCUGCUCACACUCCAACAGCAUGCCAAGUCCUAAAAACCAUUUGUCUCCAUUAGCUACUAAUAUGCUCACGCAUGCUUGCUAGAAGUCCAAGCCCCUCGCACACAAAACCUCCUUUACCCCCUCCCUACAACCUUUCCAAGGCCGACCUCUACCCUGCCUUCCCUCCACUACAGAUUUAUACCCUCUCAAAGUCAUUCUAUUUCGUUCCAUCCUCUCUACCUGUCCGAACCACCUCAACAACACCUCCUCAGCCCUCUGGGUAAUAGUUUUCAUAAUCCCGCACCUCCUCUUAAUUUCCAAACUACAAAUUCUCUGCAUUAUAUUCACACCAUGCAUUGCCAUCAGACACAACAUCUCUACUGCCUCCAACCUCCUCCUCAUUGCAACAUUCACUACCCAUGCCUUGCUUCCAUAUAAGAGCUUUGGUAUAACUAUACUCUCAUACAUUCCCCUCUUUGCUUCCCUGGACAAAGAUUUUUGUCUCCACAGACUCCUCAGCGCACCAGUCACCUUUUUCCCCCUUGUCAAUUCUAUGAUUCACCUCAUCCUUCACAGACCCAUCUGCUGACACGUCCACUCCUAAAUAUAUGAACAUAUUCACGUCCUCCAUACUCUCUCCCUCCAAUCUGAUAUCCAAUCUUUCAUUACCUAAUUUUUUUUUUAUCCUCAUCACCUUACUCUUUCCUAUAUUCACUUUUAAUUUUCUUCUUUUACAUACCCUACCAAACUCAUCCACCAACCUCUGCAACUUCUCUUCAGAAUCUCCCAAAAGCACAGUGUCAUCAGCAAAGAGCAACUAUGACAACUCCCAUUUUGUGUUAGAUUCUUUAUCUUUUAACCCCAAACCUAUUGCCAACACCUGAGCAUUCACUUCUUUUACAACCCCAUCUAUAAAUAUAUUGAACACCCAUGGUGACAUCACACAUUCUUGUCUAAAGCCUACUUCUACUGGGAAAUAAUCUCCCUCUCUCUUACAUGCUCUAACCUGAGCCUCACUAUCCUUGUAAAAACUUUCUGACUGCUUUCAUUAACCUACUUCCUAUUCCAUACAUUUGCAACAUCUGCCACACUGCCCACUAUCCACCCUAUCAUAUCGCCUUUUCCAAAUCCAUAAAUGCCACAAAAACCUCUUUACCCUUAUCUAAAUAUUGUUCACCUAUAUAUUUCACUGUAAACACUUGGUCCACACACCCCCUACCCUUCCUAAAGCCUCCUUGUUCAUUUGCUAUCCUACUCUCCAUCUUACUCUUAAUUCUUUCAUUAAUAACUCUAACAUACACUUUACCAGUUAUACUCAACAAUGUAGUCCCCUAUAAUUCUUGCACUCUCUUUUAUCCCCUUUGCCUUUAUACAAAGGAACUAUGCAUGCUCUCUGCCAAUCCCUAGGUACCUUACCCUCUUCCAUACAUUUAUUAAAUAAAAGAACCAACCACUCCAAAACUAUACCCUCACCUGCUUUUAACAUUUCUAUCUUUAUCCCAUCAAUCCCAGCUGCCUUACCCCCUUUCAUUCUACCCAUUGCCUCAUGAACUUCCCCCACACUCACAACUUGUUCUUCCUCACUCCUCAAGAUGUUAUUCCUCCUUGCCCUAUACAUGAAAUUACAGCUUCCCUAUCUUCAUCAACAUUUAACAAUUCCUCAAAAUAUUCCCUCCAUCUUCCUGAUACUUCUAACUUUCCAUUUAAUAACUCUCCUCUCCUAUUUUUAACUAUAAAAUCCAUUCGUUCCCUAGGCUUCCUCAACUUAUUAAUCUCACUCCAAAACUUUUUUUUAUUUUCAAGAAAAUUUGUUGUUAACAUCUCACCCACUCUCUCAUUUGCUCUCUUUUUACACUGCUUCACCACUCUCUUAACCUCUCUUUUCCUCUCCAUAUCUCUUCCCUCCCUGCAUCACUUCUACUUUGUAAAAACCUUUCAUAUGCUAACUUUUUCUCUCUCACUACUCUCUCUACAUCAAUCGCUCUUCUUCCCUCCCACACCCAUUUUCCUGUAACCACAAACUUCUGCUGAACAGUCUAACACUACAUUCUUAAACCUACACUAUACAUCUUCAACUCCAUUGCCUAUACUCUCACUAGCCCAUCUAUUCUCCAACAGUUGUUAAUAUCUUACCCUAUCUGCCUCAUCCUUUAGCUUAUACACCUUCACCUCUCUCUUACCUGCUGCUUCCAUUUUCCUUGUAUCCCAUCUACCUUUUACUCUCACUGUAACUACAACUAAAAAGUGAUCUGAUAAAUCUGUGGCCCCUCUAUAAAUAUGUACAUCUUGAAGUCUACCCAACAGUCUUUUAUCUACCAAUACACAGUCCAACAAACUACUGUUGUUAUGCCCUACAUCUUAUCUUAUAUACUUAUUUAUCCUCUUUUUCUUAAAGUAUGAAUUACCUAUAACCAAACCCCUUUCAUUUACACUAUCAUAUUCUUUAUCCAUGGUUUGCCGCACUAAUAAAAUACUUUAGUGAAAAAAGGGGUUUGUAAAUUUGGAAGGCAAGAAUGCUCCUUUGUCAGCAUGCUGAGAUUUAUUAGUUAAAAUAUAUCUUUCAAGGUGACUGUAAACUGCAUCCACAACCAGACUUAUAUCAAUAAUUGCUCGAUCUUAAGUUAUCCCUGAAUCUCAUACCCUUGACCCCCUGUUCCUCAAUGUACACAACUUUCAAAUCCACCCCCUGUAUUUCAAUGUACACAACUUCCAAAUCCUUAUGUGAUAGAGGAGCUGUAGCUAAGCUCCUUCAAAAGAUUUAGAGCUUUAAGCCAACAUAUUUAUGAAAUCUUUAACACCUACAAAAGGCAUAGGCAGUAAAAAAAAAAAGUAAACUUUAAUUCUGCUCAAAAGUUAAUUUCAAUGGCAGUAUGUGUCAUGUUUGACAUCCAACCAGUUUUGACUUUACAUUUUGAUGGCAACUAGUGCUAAAAAUCCUGAAUUACCAAGAUAUGUACUAGCAAAUGGAGAAGGGCAGUCUUGUGUCAAAGAACCAGACCUCAAGACUUCAAGUUGUAUUUACAUUGCCUCAUUACCUUUUUCAAUGAGGUCAUCUCUGACAAGGUCUGCAUCACUGAUGCUGUCCAUUUCAGCAAAGAAAAGAUCAUGACUCUGCAUUUUGAUUUUAAGGUCAUCUGAGCUCCUGUCUCUGGAAACCACUUUCCAUUCAUUACAACCAAUCACUUCACUCAAAUUCAGACAAUUUUAAAUUUCUCAUUUACCUUCCCAUGAAUUAGAAUCUGUCUCUUUGCAGUGCUUGACUCUUUUAAGACAUGGCAGUGCUUCUCAAACAUUAUUGAGGAAUAGUACAAGAAUGGUAUACAAUACCAACAUGUGUCUAAUUCUUCAUUAUUGAGGAAGUUUUGUUAGCAAGCUGUAACAAGCCACCCAAAAUUCCCUGAGUAGCCACACAGCUGCAACCCAUUUUAAUGGCUUUAUGCUCAGUCUAGACCUUCAUAUACUGAUAGAAACACCAUAAAGGUGGUUUCCUUGUUAAUUUCUCAAAGCACUUAAUAUACUAUUAUCAAUUUGCAUAUUAGUGCCAUGUCUACCAUUGUAUACAAUAUUUAUGCAUAUUUUUUCUUUUAAUAUUAUAAUUUCUCAAAUGUAUUUAUUGCAUAUGACAAAUUUUAAUAUUUUAACUUUUAAAAGAAUAUGGGAAUUAUUUGUUAGCAUCAUAUGGUGUUGGAACUGCUAGAUAAAUUAAUGCAACAGGGGGCAAAAUAUACAAGUCCAGAAAACUUGUACUAUUUCUGUUUGUAUGAAGUUUCAGGAAAUUGUGCAGUGUUGUCGAGUUACUAUUGCUGCUUAUAGUCAUAUGCUCAUUAGCAACAUAAUGCAAGUAUGAUUUAUUAUUAUUACUGGUUAAUGAGGAACCUAUGAUGUUUGUUACAGUUAAGUUUGCCAAAUCAUACUAUGUUUUUAUGGUAGUUGCCACAUAUCUAUAUGCAGUAUUUUUAAAAUAAUGAAAACAGUGCCUUAAUAUUUACAUCUGACACUUUUCAUGGUGCCUUUGGGACACAGUAGACAACCACCUUUAGCAUGAGAUAUGUUCCAGAAAAAUGGAGCUAUAUGUGAAAAUGAGAUGGCUGGAGUGAACAACUUACAGGAAAAAUUAGGUUAUGUGUCAUGACACCUCGAAAAAAACCCAUUCAAGUUUUUUCAAUUCUUAAAUUAUCAAUAUUAUUAUUAAUGUUUUUGACAAUUUACAUUGUAGAUGUUGUUUCUUGUUGAUUAAAAAACGUGUGGAGAGGUUUCAUGCUGCUCUACAAGGCCUAGUUGCAUGUAGUGAGGUUUAAACCCUCCAAAAUGUGUACAGUGUUUGACCUAAAUGGGAUAUUCAGAGUUAUCCGUUUAUACAGUGGGUCAGGCUCCUGGCUACUGCUGCAAAGCAAAAAUUGCUGUAAAGUGAAACAGCAUAUUUUUUACCUAUCAAAUGCAUGUAAAAACCUGAAAACACGUUUAUACUAUUAUAUAUUAUGUGAGCAAUAGAGCUAGGCCUAAAAAAUGCACAUACAGCACACACGUUAAAAUAUUUUCGCCCUUAGCUUAUAGUGAGUGGUGAAUAUAUUUAUUGUAGGAAGUCUGAAUAAAUGAUGAAUGGGUAUAAUUAAAAACUGCUGCAUUAGUGAAACCCUGUAAAGCAGGACCUUCCUGUACCCAUAAUGUAUGUGCCAUCAAGACUAUUGUAAAAAAAAAAAAAUUGUAGAAUUUGUACCCAAAACUUGUUAAAUAAA